rnacentral:piRNA from 2 species
AAUUUAAGGAUGCCAAACCAUUGA